rnacentral:rRNA from 1 species
UUGUAGGACACUCUAUACGGAGUUACAAAGGACGACAUUAGACGAAUCAUCUGGAAAGAUGAAUCAAAGAAGGUAAUAAUCCUGUAGUCGAAAAUGUUGUCUCUCUUGAGUGGAUCCUGAGUACGACGGAGCACGUGAAAUUCCGUCGGAAUCUGGGAGGACCAUCUCCUAAGGCUAAAUACUCUCUAGUGACCGAUAGUGAACCAGUACCGUGAGGGAAAGGUGAAAAGCACCCCGGAAGGGGAGUGAAAUAGAACCUGAAACCGUGUGCUUACAAGUAGUCAGAGCCCGUUAAUGGGUGAUGGCGUGCCUUUUGUAGAAUGAACCGGCGAGUUACGAUUUGAUGCAAGGUUAAGCAGUAAAUGUGGAGCCGUAGCGAAAGCGAGUCUGAAUAGGGCGUUUAGUAUUUGGUCGUAGACCCGAAACCAGGUGAUCUACCCUUGGUCAGGUUGAAGUUCAGGUAACACUGAAUGGAGGACCGAACCGACUUACGUUGAAAAGUGAGCGGAUGAACUGAGGGUAGCGGAGAAAUUCCAAUCGAACCUGGAGAUAGCUGGUUCUCUCCGAAAUAGCUUUAGGGCUAGCCUCAAGUGAUGAUUAUUGGAGGUAGAGCACUGUUUGGACGAGGGGCCCCUCUCGGGUUACCGAAUUCAGACAAACUCCGAAUGCCAAUUAAUUUAACUUGGGAGUCAGAACAUGGGUGAUAAGGUCCGUGUUCGAAAGGGAAACAGCCCAGACCACCAGCUAAGGUCCCAAAAUAUAUGUUAAGUGGAAAAGGAUGUGGCGUUGCCCAGACAACUAGGAUGUUGGCUUAGAAGCAGCCAUCAUUUAAAGAGUGCGUAAUAGCUCACUAGUCGAGUGACACUGCGCCGAAAAUGUACCGGGGCUAAACAUAUUACCGAAGCUGUGGAUUGUCCUUUGGACAAUGGUAGGAGAGCGUU